rnacentral:rRNA from 1 species
AUUGAACGCUGGCGGCAUGCUUUACACAUGCAAGUCGAGCGGCAGCGCGGGGGCAACCCUGGCGGCGAGCGGCGGACGGGUGAGUAAUGCAUCGGAACGUAUCCCGUAGUGGGGGACAACCCAGCGAAAGCUGGGCUAAUACCGCAUAUGCUCUACGGAGGAAAGUGGGGACCCGCAAGGGCCUCACGCUAUGGGAGCGGCCGAUGUCCGAUUAGCUAGUUGGUGGGGUAAAGGCCUACCAAGGCGACGAUCGGUAGCUGGUCUGAGAGGAUGAUCAGCCACACUGGGACUGAGACACGGCCCAGACUCCUACGGAGGCAGCAGUGGGGAAUUUUGGACAAUGGGGGCAACCCGUGAUCCAGCCAUGCCGCGUGCGGGAAGAA